CUUUCCUACGGGACGCAGCAGUGGGGAAUAUUGCACAAUGGGCGCAAGCCUGAUGCAGCCAUGCCGCGUGUAUGAAGAAGGCCUUCGGGUUGUAAAGUACUUUCAGCGGGGAGGAAGGCGUUGAGGCUAAUAACCUCAGCGAUUGACGUUACCCGCAGAAGAAGCACCGGCUAACUCCGUGCCAGCAGCCGCGGUAAUACGGAGGGUGCAAGCGUUAAUCGGAAUUACUGGGCGUAAAGCGCACGCAGGCGGUCUGUCAAGUCGGAUGUGAAAUCCCCGCGCUCAACCUGGGAACUGCAUUCGAA
rnacentral:rRNA from 1 species